CACUUGGGUGCAGGUGGUCAGUGUGGGUACCCUUAACUGCUGGCACAUGUCCUCUCCUGGGGCAGCCUACUGCUGCUGCCUGACAUCAGCUGAGGCCAUCUCAAGCAGUGAGAUGAGUACUAGGAUGAAAGCCAAAGAUGGGAGAACCAGGAAGCAGCUUCAGAGUCACUGAGUUACCUCUGGGUUGCUGUCACAUCCAUUAUUCAUUACAAUAACCUUCUGCAGACUAAUGAACACGUGUCCUAUUAGUCCUGCAAUCACCAUGGGGAAAAUAAAAAGCUUUGGACAGUUCUAGGAAGGGUCUCAAUUCCAAGCCAAUUUUAUAUCACAGCCUAUUUUUGGUCAACACUUCCUGUUCGGGUUCUCCUCAGAACUGCUGUUAUGGGAAAUAUAAUUUCUUUCUUAUAAAUGACCAUUUCUUGUUGCCUGCAGCUCAUAUUCUGGGUGGUAAAAGAGGAGGCCUGGGAGUCUUAUCACAGUCAGGGUGAAAUUUAGACCUCAGCCUCAGAGAGUUCAGUAGGGCCAGAAUUACUGAGAUCUCUUUUCAAACAAAAAUAUGUAUUUGGGAAACCUUAUUCAGGAUUCUAUUCACUCAUGUUUCAACAUUGGAUACUCUUUAUUUGCUGCUGGUAACAUUGUUUUUUCCUUACAAAAUAGUUUUUUAGCAAAAUAAAGACUCAAGUCAUUGUUUUGCAAAACUAGCUGACCUUGUCUUCAUUAACGGCGUUUCAAGGCAAACAACAUAACCUCAUA